rnacentral:rRNA from 1 species
GUACGGGAGGCAGCAGUAGGGAAUAUUGGUCAAUGGAUGCAAGUCUGAACCAGCCAUGCCGCGUGCAGGAAGAAGGCCUUCUGGGUUGUAAACUGCUUUUGCCAGGGGAUAAAAAUCUCAUGCGUGAGAAAUUGAAGGUACCUGGUGAAUAAGCCACGGCUAACUACGUGCCAGCAGCCGCGGUAAUACGUAGGUGGCAAGCGUUGUCCGGAUUUAUUGGGUUUAAAGGGUGCGUAGGCGGCCUUGUAAGUCAGUGGUGAAAUACUCUAGCUUAACUAGAGGGGUGCCAUUGAUACUGCAGGGCUUGAGUACAGACGAGGUAGGCGGAAUUGACGGUGUAGCGGUGAAAUGCAUAGAUAUCGUCAAGAACUCCGAUAGUGAAGACAGCUUACUAGGCUGUAACUGACGCUGAGGCACGAAAGUGUGGGGAUCAAACAGGAUUAGAUACCCCGGUAGC